rnacentral:rRNA from 1 species
CCUACGGGUGGCAGCAGUGGGGAAUAUUGGACAAUGGGCGAAAGCCUGAUCCAGCCAUGCCGCGUGUGUGAAGAAGGCCUUCGGGUUGUAAAGCACUUUCAGUGGGGAAGAAAGCCUUGGGGCUAAUACCCUCGAGGAAGGACAUCACCCACAGAAGAAGCACCGGCUAACUCCGUGCCAGCAGCCGCGGUAAUACGGAGGGUGCGAGCGUUAAUCGGAAUUACUGGGCGUAAAGCGCGCGUAGGCGGUCUGAUAAGCCGGUUGUGAAAGCCCCGGGCUCAACCUGGGAACGGCAUCCGGAACGGUCAGGCUAGAGUGCAGGAGAGGAAGGUAGAAUUCCCGGUGUAGCGGUGAAAUGCGUAGAGAUCGGGAGGAAUACCAGUGGCGAAGGCGGCCUUCUGGACUGACACUGACGCUGAGGUGCGAAAGCGUGGGUAGCAAACAGGAUUAGAUACCCGAGUAGUC